rnacentral:rRNA from 1 species
GUGUCAGCAGCCGCGGUAAUACGUAGGUGGCGAGCGUUGUCCGGAUUUACUGGGCGUAAAGAGCGCGCAGGCGGUCGUUCAAGUCGGAUGUGAAAGCCCCCGGCUCAACUGGGGAGGGUCAUUCGAUACUGAUCGACUCGAAGGCAGGAGAGGGAAGCGGAAUUCCCGGUGUAGUGGUGAAAUGCGUAGAUAUCGGGAGGAACACCAGUGGCGAAGGCGGCUUCCUGGCCUGUUCUUGACGCUGAGGCGCGAAAGCUAGGGGAGCAAACGGGAUUAGAUACCCCGGUAGUCCUAGCUGUAAACGAUGGACACUAGGUGUUGGUGGUAUCAACCCCGCCAGUGCCGUAGCUAACGCAUUAAGUGUCCCGCCUGGGGAGUACGGCCGCAAGGCUAAA